rnacentral:lncRNA from 1 species
UCAAAGAUAAAGCGGUAAAUAAAACAAUACAAGAAGGCAUCUAGGAGUAUCAGAGCAAAGCAACUACGAAAUUCUACAACAAGAGGAAGAUCCUAGAAUUGAUAAUCCACUAUGUAAACAUAAGAUAAUACAAAAGGAGUCCUAUAACAAGUACUAAUCUGAAUACAAGGUGGUCUCUCUAUACAUGGUGCCAAAACUCUCCCUCUCUCUAACACAAACAAAAGAAGGAGUAACCACCUAUCGCAAAACGGACUCUCUCCCGAGCUAGCUACGCGACACCCUUGCCGCGAUCCCGUGCCUCCGCCGGUGCCGAAGGCUCUGAAAGGAAAACAUAGAAACAGGGGCGUGAGAACUAUUAAAUAAUAGUUCCCAGUGGGCAAUUACUGACUUCAGUGAAAUGCGCCACUAGGCCCAAAACU